GAUGAACGCUGGCGGCGUGCCUAAUACAUGCAAGUCGAGCGAACAGACGAGGAGCUUGCUCCUUUGACGUUAGCGGCGGACGGGUGAGUAACACGUAGGUAACCUACCUAUAAGACUGGGAUAACUUCGGGAAACCGGAGCUAAUACCGGAUAAUAUUUCGAACCGCAUGGUUCGAUAGUGAAAGAUGGCUUUGCUAUCACUUAUAGAUGGACCUGCGCCGUAUUAGCUAGUUGGUAAGGUAACGGCUUACCAAGGCAACGAUACGUAGCCGACCUGAGAGGGUGAUCGGCCACACUGGAACUGAGACACGGUCCAGACUCCUACGGGAGGCAGCAGUAGGGAAUCUUCCGCAAUGGGCGAAAGCCUGACGGAGCAACGCCGCGUGAGUGAUGAAGGUCUUCGGAUCGUAAAACUCUGUUAGUAGGGAAGAACAAACGUGUAAGUAACUGUGCACGUCUUGACGGUACCUAAUCAGAAAGCCACGGCUAACUACGUG
rnacentral:rRNA from 1 species